ensembl:misc_RNA Metazoa_SRP Metazoan signal recognition particle RNA
GCUGGGCAUGGUGGUGCAUGCCUGUAAUCCCAGCUACUCGGGAGGCUGAGGCAGGAGAAUUGCUUGAACCUGGGAGGUGGAGGUUGUAGUGAGCCAAGAUUGCACCACUGCACUCCAGCCUGGGUGACAGAGCAAGAUUCUGUCUCAA